rnacentral:rRNA from 1 species
GUGGGGAAUAUUGGACAAUGGGCGAAAGCCUGAUCCAGCCAUGCCGCGUGUGUGAAGAAGGUCUUCGGAUUGUAAAGCACUUUAAGUUGGGAGGAAGGGUAGUAACCUAAUACGUUGCUACUUUGACGUUACCGACAGAAUAAGCACCGGCUAACUUCGUGCCAGCAGCCGCGGUAAUACGAAGGGUGCAAGCGUUAAUCGGAAUUACUGGGCGUAAAGCGCGCGUAGGUGGUUCAGUAAGUUGGAAGUGAAAUCCCCGGGCUCAACCUGGGAACUGCUUUCAAAACUGCUGAGCUAGAGUACGGUAGAGGGUGGUGGAAUUUCCUGUGUAGCGGUGAAAUGUGUAGAUAUAGGAAGGAACACCAGUGGCGAAGGCGACUACCUGGACUGAUACUGACACUGAGGUGCGAAAGCGUGGGGAGCAAACAGGAUUAGAAACCCGGGUAGUCC